ensembl:lncRNA
GUUUGCAAGUGCUUUGGAUUUUGCAAGUGUUUUGGAGUUUGCAUGUGUUUUGGAGUUUGCAAGUGUUUUGGAGUUUGCAUGUGUUUUGGAGUUUGCACGUGCUUUGUCUCUAGGGGCCACCGUACCCACCCACUUGAAACGUAAAGGGAAAUAGGCGGAGCGGUUAGUGCUACGUUUGUGCAGAUUUACGCAGUUAAAAUUAGCGUUUGUGCUGCUACGGUUUUUGAGUUAUUAAACAUUAUUUUAUAGGUCAUUCAAAGGUCACCAUCCCCCCAGACUGCUCCAAAACGGGCCAAAAUGGUCUACUUUUUAGUGCUACGUUUGUGCUGAUUUGUGCAGGAAAAAUUAGCGUUUGUGCUGCUACGGUUUCUGAGAUAUAAUGAUUUUAAUUAUUACGGCCUACGCUGUAUAACACCAGUGUCUGUGGCAGUGAGUUUCAGCAGCUGUGGAAUUAUGCACUUUUAUAGAAGACUGUCCACUUUUUCUAGGCUUUCUGCAUAUUAACUUUAAUUAGUUUACACUUCAUUAACACAAUUUAUUCAGCGGAAAGGUCGAUAUUUCUUUUGUUACCAGUGCAGAAACGUGCACAAGGUUGUUACCUACGUGUAGAAAACUGAAUAUUCCACAGCACCUAGGCCAGGGAUGUUCAACCUGCGGCUCUAAAGCCACAUGUGGCUCUCCGGCCCCUCCACUGUGGCUCCUAUAAGACCAAAUGCUCCUGUCACUCCAUUUCCCAGGUCAUCAUAGCACUCCCACACACACGGAGCUCUCCUGCAGUAUGCAGAGUAAUGGCCCAUCCUUCCAUGGAAAGCAAUUAAUGCCCUCAAAGUGAACGACUUUCCUUGGAGAACCAGGUUGGAGGGAAAUUCAUUUAGUGGAAAUUCUGUUUGGUUUGCAAUAGAUGGAUUGGAGAGUGGCCUGAGGCAGGUAGACUCAGGUUGGCCAAGUCCUGCUUCCACAGCCGUGCCAAGAUGAGCCAUACCAGACUCUUUGAGGACAGAGAUGGCAGGAGGAACAAAUGGCACUUCCCUUGUCAUCCCUUUGCUGAGGUUUGUUGGAUCACACCAUCUGUGGCAAUGGCUUUCACCAGCUGCAGGACUGGGUUUUCACUGUCUUUCAGAACAGCAUUUUGAAAUGUGGAGCUGUCACAGAAGGCACAACAUAAACACUGAAAAAAUGCAUCAAAAGCACAGUUUCAUCUGCAUGCAGCCAUUCAGUACAUGAAGAGAGAUAGGAAGUUCUCUUCCUUUUUUUUUUUUGGGUGGAACAGCUAGGCCCCUCCAGUUCUCAACUGCAUCCCCAUCAGCCGGAAGAAUGUUUGUGGCAGCAUCAGAUCCCACAAACGGAACAAAUCCGCAUAUUUCCCUCGAUGAAGGAAAGAUGAUGAGCAAUGAAGCGAUCGACUCGAACAGGCAAGUUUUCAUGUUUGAAAAGUCCGUGUUUUAUGUUUUUGAACUCAGCUUCAACAGUGGCUGAACUUGCUGUGAUGCUGGCGCUUUGGAAGAGAGGGACCAUUGUUCCUGUCCAGAGUGGUCUGUCUGGAUCUCAUCCACUGAAUCCACUCUCUCACUUUCCUCCGUCUUUAAAAGAACUGAUCGUGGACUUCAGGAAGACAAGGAAACACUUGACCCCUGUUUCAAUCCAGGGGGUCAGUGUUGACAUUGUGGAGGAUUAUAAAUACCUUGGAGUCCACAUUGACAAUAAACUGGACUGGGCUAAAAACACCAAAGCACUCUACAGGAAGGGCCAGAGUCGUCUCUAUUUUUUGAGGCGACUGAGGUCCUUCAACAUCUGCCACAAAAUGCUCAGGAUUUUCUACGAGUCUGUUGUGGCCAGUGCGAUCCUCUAUGCUGUGGCAUGCUGGGGGAGCAGGCUGAGGGUCGCAGAUGCCAACAGACUCGAUAAACUGAUCCGUAAGGCCAGCAAUGUUGUUGGGAUGGAGCUGGACUCCCUCAAGGUGGUGUCGGAGAGGCUGUCCAAAAUAAAGACAAUGUUGGAUAACACCUCCCACCCACUCCAUGACAUGCUGGUCAGUCACAGGAGCACGUUCAGUGAGAGACUGAGAUUACCGAAAAGCACCACUGAAUGACACAGGAAAUCAUUCCUGCCUGUGGCCAUCUCACUGUACAACGCAUCCACUUAACACACUGUUUACUGCCACAACUACACGGUUCUUUCCCGCUAUUUAUUAUUGUGACUUAUAGAUCUAUAGAUAUAUAGAGAUAUAGAUAGAUAUAGAUAGUUAUAGAUAGAUAUAUAGUUAUUGAUAGAUCUAUAGAUAUAGAGAGAGAGAGAGAUAGAUGGAUAGAUAUAUAUAUAUUUUAGUACUAUUCUUAGUUAGCGUGUUGUCUGUUUUGUUAAUGUUGGUGUAUAAUGGAGCACUGUAACAAAGAAAUAAUUUCCCCCAGGGAUCAAUAAAGUAUUCUGAUUCUGUUCAUCUGGAAUGAUGAUGGAGUCUUGAGCAAUUUGGGCUUUCAGGUAUUUCUUGCACCUUUCUGAGGGAAGAGGGGCUCCAGAACUGUCAUCACCUUCUGCCUCACUGAGGGCCACAACAGUGAUAGCACGUAGGAGCUGUUUUGCAUGGGCCAAACAUUGUGACUGAAGAAGUUUUGCUAAUGACCUGACAAAGAAAUCUUUAACACGGUGUGUUUUCUUCUUCAGGCAGUCCCACUGACAUAUCAUCUUGAUGCAGUGCGCAACAUCAACCCUGAUAAAACAUGGGGGGAGUUUGGCAGACUGGGUUCCAAGAAGGACAUGAAAGCAUUCAUUAAGAGUGGCCAAAUUUGGAAGGUGGCUUGGCUCAGGAUCUCCAACAUCCAUCAGAUCUGCUGCCUUCGCUGACCUCCAUACAGCCGGUUCCAUUCUGCCCUCUCACAGCUCUUUAGAGAUCUGUUCACGCAGGUUUCCAGACAUGAACCGCUUGGAGUGGCCAGUGUGCAGGGAGAGAUCUGUAUUUCUCAUGAAACACUGGAGCACCAUUGGACUAUUAAUUGCUGGCUGUCUGUCACAUGACAUUUCGAACUGGCCAUGACACUCCUUACAGUCGCCUCUGAUGUCCAGAUAAUUAUUGUUGACAGUUGGAUGGACCUUUGCUCUUCGAAACACAAGUGUACAUGUAUUUUUGAUCUUCUUCCAUAUAAGAUCGUUGAUGAUAUGAGUCCAAGUGCCAGGUUUCAAAAUUGUGUAUUCCCUUUUUUGGGUAGGAGAAAACUUG